GGAGAGGUGGCAGAGCCCGGUCGAUCGCGCCAGUCUCGAAAACUGGUAUACAUGCAAAUGUAUCGUGGGUUCGAAUCCCACCCUCUCCGCCA
rnacentral:tRNA from 2 species